AUUGAACGCUGGCGGCAGGCCUAACACAUGCAAGUCGAACGAGUGGCGGACGGGUGAGUAAUGUCUGGGAAACUUCCCGAUGGAGGGGGAUAACUACUGGAAACGGUAGCUAAUACCGCAUACCAUCGGAUCUGCCAAGAUGGGAUUAGCUAGUAGGUGGGGUAACGGCUCACACAGGCGACGAUCCCUAGCUGGUCUGAGAGGAUGACCAGCCACACUGGAACUGAGACACGGUCCAGACUCCUACGGGAGGCAGCAGUGGGGAAUAUUGCACAAUGGGCGAAAGCCUGAUGCAGCAAUGCCGCGUGUAUGAAGAAGGCCUUCGGGUUGUAAAGUACUGUCAGCGAGGAGGCGUUACUCGCAGAAGAAGCAACGGCUAACUCCGUGCCAGCCGCCGCGGUAAUUC
rnacentral:rRNA from 1 species